UUCCUGUCCAACGUUAAUCGGGGCAGGGUGAGUCGACCCCUAAGGCGAGGCCGAAAGGCGUAGUCGAUGGGAAACAGGUUAAUAUUCCUGUACUUGGUGUUACUGCGAAGGGGGGACGGAGAAGGCUAUGUUGGCCGGGCGACGGUUGUCCCGGUUUAAGCGUGUAGGCUGGUUUUCCAGGCAAAUCCGGAAAAUCAAGGCUGAGGCGUGAUGACGAGGCACUACGGUGCUGAAGCAACAAAUGCCCUGCUUCCAGGAAAAGCCUCUAAGCAUCAGGUAACAUCAAAUCGUACCCCAAACCGACACAGGUGGUCAGGUAGAGAAUACCAAGGCGCUUGAGAGAACUCGGGUGAAGGAACUAGGCAAAAUGGUGCCGUAACUUCGGGAGAAGGCACGC
rnacentral:rRNA from 1 species